AUGGAGGAUCUCCAAAUAUUGUUCCCAGAAGCCUUACAGGGCAUAUCUGUUUCAAAAAUGAAAGAAAGUACUAUAGAUAAGAAAGUGGUAUUUCUCUUUGAGGCAUUAAAAUCUAUAAGAGAUUCAUGGAGUAUGAGUCAGAAGUGGCUGGCCAAAUACGGAUACGAUAAGAUUAGUAAAAUAGACAGCAUUGAUAAGGAGCAAGUAGUUGAUAUAGUCUUUGCAACACUUGACUGUGUGAUUAAGGCAGCAGCAGAACUGUUUGAUAUGCUGGAAGGGGAAGUAUUGAACAAAGAUUUGCACCAAGAAGCUAGUAUAUUGACAGAGGCCUAUCCUGGAAAAAAGCUCCCGGCCCCCCUCUGCCACCUCCACCUGGUGCUAAACUCCUAACUCAGAGAAAAAACAGUACUAAUUGAAGAAAUCCAUUCAGAUGCUGAACCAGUUUCGGAAGCUAAAGGACAAGAUAGAAGGACCUAACCUGCCUGUUAAAUUGGUCAAUAUGAGAAAGAUGCAGCUUGGAGGUUCUAGCAAUGGAAAGGAAGGAUUGGCUGCCUCAUUAGCAGAAUUGACAAAGAGAUUGCCAUACUUCCUACAAAUUGAAGAAGAUGUUCAGAAGUAUGAAAACCCAAUCCUAAAUUUGAUAAUAGCCAUCAAUUCCUUUCAAACAAAUGACAUGGUAAAGCUGCUCAAUUUUCGAAACAAUUUUGAAGCUGUCCUUGGAGUCUUAACUGAUGAAUCACAGGUGCUAGCAAAGUUUGAAGGUUUUCCCACAAAGAAGCUGAAAACAUUAAGGACAGCAGCUACACUGUACUUUAAAUUAGACAGAUAUUCAGCACCUUGAGGACAUGGGAGAUAGUGCCUCCCUCAUUAAAGUUUUUAGACAAGGUUGAUUGUUAUUUCAGAAAGGUCAAACUGGAACUGGAAGCGGUUGAAUGACAUAAGGAUGAAGAAGCCAAAAAGUUCAAGAGCUACGGCAUUGAUUUUGACUUCCUUAUCAUUACAAGGAUAAAGUAAUCAAUGGUAGAUCUUUCCUCUGGUUGUAUAGAGGUAGCACUAAAGGAGAGGAGAGAAGCAAACAGAGCAAAAGGGGAUGAAGAAUUUGGUAAAAUCAAUCAAAAAAUGAAAGAAAGUGUUAAAAUGCUAUGGAGAGUGUUUCAGUUGGCAUUUCAGGUCUAUAGCUUUGCUGGUGGACCAGAUGAUUGCGCUGAAAAUUAGCCAAAUUACAAAACCAUUAUACAUUAUGAUGGAAAAAUGCGUAGAAUAUCCAGAAACUUACCAAAAGUCGAAGAGAUUCUUUGAAAGACA